GAUGAACGCUGGCGGCGUGCCUAAUACAUGCCAGUCGAGCGAACAGACGAGGAGCUUGCUCCUCUGACGUUAGCGGCGGACGGGUGAGUAACACGUGGAUAACCUACCUAUAAGACUGGGAUAACUUCGGGAAACCGGAGCUAAUACCGGAUAAUAUAUUGAACCGCAUGGUUCAAUAGUGAAAGACGGUUUUGCUGUCACUUAUAGAUGGAUCCGCGCCGCAUUAGCUAGUUGGUAAGGUAACGGCUUACCAAGGCAACGAUGCGUAGCCGACCUGAGAGGGUGAUCGGCCACACUGGAACUGAGACACGGUCCAGACUCCUACGGGAGGCAGCAAUAGGGAAUCUUCCGCAAUGGGCGAAAGCCUGACGGAGCAACGCCGCGUGAGUGAUGAAGGUCUUCGGAUCGUAAAACUCUGUUAUUAGGGAAGAACAAAUGUGUAAGUAACUAUGCACGUCUUGACGGUACCUAAUCAGAAAGCCACGGCUAACUACGUG
rnacentral:rRNA from 1 species